rnacentral:rRNA from 1 species
CCUACGGGUGGCAGCAGUGGGGGAUAUUGCACAAUGGGGGGAACCCUGAUGCAGCGACGCCGCGUGGGUGAAGGAGCGUUUCGGCGCGUAAAGCCCUAUCGGCAGGGAAGAAGGAGGACGGUACCGGACGAAGAAGCCCCGGCUAACUACGUGCCAGCAGCCGCGGUAAGACGGAGGGGGCAAGCGUUCUCCGGAUUUACUGGGUGGAAAGGGGGCGCAGACGGCAGCGCAAGCCAGGAGUGAAAGCCCGGGGCCCAACCCCGGGACUGCUCUUGGAACUGCGCGGCUGGCGUGCAGGAGGGGCAGGCGGCAUUCCUGGUGUAGCGGUGAACUGCUUAGAUAUCCGGAG